rnacentral:rRNA from 1 species
UUUUUAAAAACCAGAGAGUGUAGUGAUAAAAUUCCUUCAAAUUGAUUCUGCUGACUUGAGUAACGGUAAUUAGAUUGUUUCAGCUAUCCAUGGUGAUAAGAUUCGUAAAUACCGGUCAUUA